AGGGGGACAAAAACAUAAUCACAGUCUUCCUGAUUUUCUAACCAAUCUUUACAUUCCAUUCUAUAAGUUGGAGUCAUACACAUUAUUUCUCUCCAAUAGGUAUCAUAAAUAUUACAAUUGAAGAAAAUUAGGCUUUAGAGUGUAAAGAAGUGAUGAUAAUGGGGAUCACUCUCAUGAAGCUGAAUGGAGUAUAAAUCUAGAACUGAAGAUGAAAGACCUCUUCAGGAAGAGAUAAUAGAAACAUGGAAGGGAGCCAAAGUGGAAAGGCUUAAGAGUUCAAAGGUCAGCGUGGGAAAAUAGCUUACUUAACACAAUAUAGGAAAAGUAGCUCAAGUCUUUCAUCACCUUAAUCAGUAUGAUUUAGAGCAGGAAGUGGCAAGCUUCUUUGCUCUCAGGUAUAGUGUCCACUUCUGAACCAUGUCUGAACUGCAUAUUUCUUUCCUUGUAUUUGCUUGGGAUUCAGCCAUACUCAUCAGUUACAUGCUGUCUUUGGCUGCUUUUCUAUGCAACAGAGUUUGUGUCUUGGGGGCUGCUACAAUCCAAUUCCACUUACUGGAUAGCUUAUAAACAGAAAUUUGUCAAUAAUUUUGGAGACUGAGAAUUCCAAGGCACCAGAGGAUUUGGGUUUGGUGAUGUGCUACUUCCUGGUUCACAGAGGGCUCCUUCUCGUUGUCCUUAGCCCCUUAAAAGUGUACUGAUUCCCUUCAAGAAGACUCCACUUUGAUGACCUACUCACCUUCCAAAAGCCCUACUUUGUAGUACCAUGACAUGGGUAAUUAGAUUUCAGUGUAAAAAUUUUGGAGGGGCACAUUCAGUCCUUAGAAGAUUAUAUGUUCCCCGAAGCCCCCAAAAUUUACUAUUAGGCUCAUUAUAGAAAAUGUUAACUGGCCCCUGCACUAGAGAAUCCAUGUCUAUCCAGGUGGGAUAGAGAGAUUAAACCUAGAGAAAUUAGGUAGAAUGGAAAGUUAUAAUGAUGGUGAACAUAUCCUUUCUUAGGGACUAGCCAUUGUGGUUACCCUCCUAAGCUAGACUAGAAAGCAGAACAAGACAGAUAAAUACCCCCAGAGGGAUGGCUCAGGAACUCCAUAGUCCUAUCACUAUUUUUAAUGUUAGAGAAUACGGGAGAGAGAAAAAAAAUGGGGUGGGGGAAAUAUGAGAGUUUGGAAAUGAUGCAUGAAAAUACUCCUAACCACUAGGUUGCAACUAUACAUUGUAGAGAGAGUUGCGGUUAUUUAAGCUUUUUUAGUAUGCCAAAAGCUUGAGUGAAAAUAAAUUCAUUUUGGAGACCAAAAUUUGACUAAUGAAAGAAGACCAACAUGGGCUUUUCAAAGUUGAGUAUGAUUUCUGCCACUCCCAGGUAGUAAUUAUGUGACCUUGAAAAAACUACUAAAUCUGGGUUUCGGUUUCUUUAUCUGUAAAGUGGGAAUAAGUCAUCCUUUCCUCACAAAAUUGUCAUGAAGUUUAAAUGAAAAUGCAUAUGGAGGACUUCGCACAUCAUCACUGUAGACAGCCCCCCAUUCCUGCCCGCUCCCACCUGCCUGCUCAUGAAUACUCUGAGGUCGCAUGCUGUCUUUCUCUCUAUAAUGUUUAUAUUUUUAAAUUGUAUUUUCAUCAAGUGACUAAGCAUCAAUCAGUAGAAGUUACUUUAGUAUCUCCCCACCUUUUGUUUACCAAUAAAGAACUGUGACUCUCCUGCUCUCUGACUUAUCUUAAAGAUGGAGCUUUCACUUUUUGCUUUUGCUUCCAUUGGUGCUGUUCCUUGCAGUUUCUUUGAGACCUUGUGGAACCUGCCGCUUUUCCUUCUGAAUAUCACUUAAGCAGGAGCUAUCUGAUAGUUCCAGAGACUCAAGUUUACAACCUAAUUGCACUUUAACUAGUGUUAAGGGAUUUGCUCUUUUACUGGGAACUCUGGCCCUUUGCAUUUUGUAUUUGUCCUUUCUAUACCUAAUGUUCAACCUAAUUACAUGUUUGUAUUCCACAUAAAUCUUGGAAAUUUUAAUGAUCUGCAUUUUAAAUGUUUUGGUUAUCUAUAAACAAUAUUAUCUGUUCUUAUAUUAUCUGUUCUAUUGUCAAUAAAG
rnacentral:lncRNA from 1 species